AUGGAUACGAGUGGGGUUCACUAACUGUUGAGCCACAGCGGGAACUCCGAGCCUCACCUUUCUCAUCUCUAAGAAGGAUGUUACUGUAGCCCCUGGGGGUUGAGAGCAGCUGGCAGCCUUGAGAAGCCUCUCCUGCAGUUUGACAGAGGUCCCCCAGAGGAGCCUGCUGGCUUCCAACUGGCCAGAAAACUGGCCCAGCUGCAUUCCAGACUCCCUGGCAUGGGGGGAAGAGGUCUCCAAGGGGGCUGAACCUGACUUACCAGCGCACUCAUCUCCAGGGAGAAGAUGGGCCGGCCAGGGCCCCCCAGGGAGAAGGUCUCUGCCACCCAGCUCUCCAGCGCCCCCGCCGCCCCCCACCGCGCCCCAGCCGAUGCCAUCCUUGGCCCCGAGGACUUGGACCUGGUGCCCUCCCUGACCUUGGCCGCAGCCCUGGUCCUGUUGUUCCUCCUGCUCUCCACCUGGCUGGUGUGGGACAGGUCCCUCCAACCCUCCUGCUAACGUGGGUCCCGAGCAGGGGCUCGAGGGGGCAUGGCCCAGGGUCAGGAGUGGCAGGAGCGGAACCAGGGAUGGGGCUGGCUGGGCAUUGCAGCCAAACCCUGUGACCAGCUAGCCCUUGCCCAUGCGACCCCAGGAGACCCUGGGAGACCCUCGAGUCCUCCCCACUGGAGGGCAGGAACCUGGAUGAGCCCCGGACUGCGCUUCAGAAUGCUGCUGCUGGAGCCUCACAGGGGCCACAGGAGGUGGGCUGAGAACCCGGGGCAGUGAAAGAGCAUGGCAGAGCCGCUUGAAAUCACUUCUCCCCGUUUGCUGCCCGGUCCCCAUCCUGACUGCUGCAAAUAAAGCUUGGUGACCCAG